rnacentral:pre_miRNA from 1 species
CUCAGGGAGGGGGAAGUCCCUUAGCCCAGAUUGUGAGAGGGAAUAGGCCAGACUGAGGGACCCCACCGGUGCACG